rnacentral:sRNA from 1 species
AAGCUAACAACUAACAAAUUAGCACGUUUGUCUUGUUCAGCCAUGACCAGCAUUUGUGUUAGUGCUCCUGGUAUAACACUUAAAAUAGCUGUUUCCGUAUUAAUACGUGCAAUUUUUUUAAAAAUAAAUGCCAUUACUAUUGCAAUUAAUAAUAUCGAAAUAGAUAC